rnacentral:rRNA from 1 species
UUAGAGUUUGAUCCUAGCUCAGGAUGAACGCUGGCGGCGUGGAUAAGGCAUGCAAGUCGAACGGACUUCAUUUUUCCAGAGAUGCGAUUAUAUCAAGUCAAAGGUCGUUUGAAGUUAGUGGCGAACGAGGUAGUAAUACAUAGGAACUUCCCUCAAAGUCGUGAAUAAUUCGUCGAAAGACGGACUAAUACACGAUNNUACCAAGGCUAUGACGUCUAGGGGAGGUGAGAGCCUGACCCCCACCGAUGGUACUGAGACACGGACCAUACACCUACGGGUGGCUGCAGUCGAGAAUCUUCCACAAUGGACGAAAGUCUGAUGGAGCGACGCCGCGUGAUUGAUGAAGUCCCUUUGGGACGUAAAGAUCUUUUAUGAGGGAAGAAGUUUAUUGACUGUACCUCAUGAAUAAGAGGCUCCUAAUCUCGUGCCAGCAGGAGCGGUAAUACGAGAGCCUCGAGCGUUAUCCGGAAUUAUUGGGCGUAAAGGGUGCGUAGGUUGUUCUGUUAGUCUUUUGUUAAAGACCCGGGCUUAACCUGGAGACCGCAAAAGAAACGGCAGAACUUGAAAGUGCGAGAGGCGUACGGAACUCAUGGUGUAGGGGUGAAAUCCGUUGAUAUCAUGGGGAACACCAAAUGCGAAGGCAGUACGCUGGCGCAUAUUUGACACUGAAGCACGAAAGCGUGGGUAGCGAAUGGGAUUAGAUACCCCAGUAGUCCACGCCCUAAACGAUGAUCUCUCGCUAUUCGGAGUAUCGACCCUCUGAGUGGCUUAGCUAACGCGUUAAGAGAUCCGCCUGGGAAGUACGGCCGCAAGGCUAAAACUCAAAGGAAUAGACGGGGACUUGCACAAGCAGUGGAUUAUGUGGUUUAAUUCGAUGGUAAACGAAGAACCUUACCAGGGUUAGAAAUCCUAGUGAAAGCCCGAGGAAACUCGGGGCCUCGCAAGACUCUAGGACAGGUGAUGCAUGGCCGUCGUCAGUUCGUGGUUUGAAUUGUACCCUUAAGUGGGCUAACGAACGCAACCCUCGUUGUGUGUUACAAGUGUCACACGAGACCGCCCCCACCUUUGUUCGCGAAGCGAACAAUUUUCAAGUAGCAAUUUACAAUUUUCAGUCAAUUAUCAAUGAUUCAAUUUAAAAAUUAUUCAUUGUAAAUUAAAAAUUUAUUGAAAAUUAGAAAUUAAAAAUUGAAAAUUUGUUUAUGCUUACGCAUAAAGGUGGGGGAGGAAGGAGAGGAUGACGNNGCCAGGUCAGCAUGUCCCUUGAUACCUUGGGCUACACACAUAAUACAAUGGCCACUACAACGCGCAGCGACGAGGCGACUCUGAGCUAAUCGUCCAAAAGUGGCCCCAGUUCGGAUUGGAGUCUGCAACUCGACUCCAUGAAGUUGGAAUUGCUAGUAAUCACAGGUCAGCUAAACUGUGGUGAAUACGUUCUCAAGUCUUGUACUCACCGCCCGUCAAGUCAAGGGAGCCGGGAGUACCCGAAGUCUCUACAUAAGUAGGGCCUAAGGCAAGCUCGGUGACAGGGACUAAGUCGUAACAAGGCACGGCUAGCGGAAGCUG